GCCAGUGUAGCUCAGUGGUAGAGCAACGGUUUCGUAAACCGUAGGUCGUCGGUUCAAUCCCGACCACUGGCUCCA
rnacentral:tRNA from 2 species